rnacentral:rRNA from 1 species
AGAAUCAACGCUGGCGGCGUGCCUAACACAUGCAAGUCGAACGAGAAAGUGGAGCAAUCCAUGAGUAAAGUGGCGCACGGGUGAGUAACACGUGACUAACCUACCUUUUAGUGGGGGAUAACCUAGGGAAACCUGGGCUAAUACCGCAUAAUACCUACGGGUCAAAGCAGCAAUGCGCUGGAAGAGGGGGUCGCGGCCGAUUAGCUAGUUGGCGGGGUAAUGGCCCACCAAGGCAGUGAUCGGUAUCCGGCCUGAGAGGGCGCACGGACACACUGGAACUGAAACACGGUCCAGACUCCUACGGGAGGCAGCAGUGGGGAAUUUUGCGCAAUGGGGGAAACCCUGACGCAGCAACGCCGCGUGGAGGAUGAAGACCCUUGGGUCGUAAACUCCUUUCGAUCGGGACGAUAAUGACGGUACCGGAAGAAGAAGCCCCGGCUAACUUCGCGCCAGCAGCCGC